GACGUAGGGCGCGAGCGUUGUCCGGAUUUAUUGGGCGUAAAGAGCUCGUAGGCGGCUUGUUGCGUCGACUGUGAAAACCCGCGGCUUAACUGCGGGCUUGCAGUUGAUACGGGCAGGCUAGAGUUCGGUAGGGGAGACUGGAAUUCCUGGUGUAGGCGGUGAAAUGCGCAGAUAUCAGGAGGAACACCGGUGGCGAAGGCGGGUCUCUGGGCCGAUACUGACGCUGAGGAGCGAAAGCGUGGGGAGCGAACAGG
rnacentral:rRNA from 1 species